GCUAUGAGCACACUUUGGCUAUCAUUUGUCGCCCCACGAAUUUUUAGGGUUGAUUGAGCUAAUUGGUUCUCUAGGCAGGAGGGUCCUAUCUCCCUCUUCACUGCAAGCAUGUCCUUCACAAAACUGAACAUUUCAUUGCCAAAGACAACAUUCUCAGAGAGUGACUAAUUUUCGAUCAAGGAUAUAUGAGUAAUUGCUCUCCAUCGUGAGACAUGGCCUAAGUACAGUCAAUCACUGAAUCCUUUUUGACCAUCAUGUUACCAUUUGGAUCAGCA
ensembl:misc_RNA 7SK 7SK RNA